rnacentral:rRNA from 1 species
AUGACGUCAAGUCAUCAUGGCCCUUACGAGUAGGGCUACACACGUGCUACAAUGGCAUAUACAAAGAGAAGCGAACUCGCGAGAGCAAGCGGACCUCAUAAAGUAUGUCGUAGUCCGGAUUGGAGUCUGCAACUCGACUCCAUGAAGUCGGAAUCGCUAGUAAUCGUGGAUCAGCAUGCCACGGUGAAUACGUUCCCGGGCCCUU